rnacentral:rRNA from 1 species
CCUACGGUAGGCACCAGUCGAGAAUCAUUCACAAUGGGGGAAACCCUGAUGGUGCGACGCCGCGUGGGGGAAUGAAGGUCUUCGGAUUGUAAACCCCUGUCAUGUGGGAGCAAAUUAAAAAGAUAGUACCACAAGAGGAAGAGACGGCUAACUCUGUGCCAGCAGCCGCGGUAAUACAGAGGUCUCAAGCGUUGUUCGGAAUCACUGGGCGUAAAGCGUGCGUAGGCUGUUUCGUAAGUCGUGUGUGAAAGGCGCGGGCUCAACCCGCGGACGGCACAUGAUACUGCGAGACUAGAGUAAUGGAGGGGGAACCGGAAUUCUCGGUGUAGCAGUGAAAUGCGUAGAUAUCGAGAGGAACACUCGUGGCGAAGGCGGGUUCCUGGACAUUAACUGACGCUGAGGCACGAAGGCCAGGGGAGCGAAAGGGAUUAGAUACCCUAGUAGUC